UACGUAGGGAGCAAGCGUUGUCCGGAAUCAUUGGGCGUAAAGCGCGCGUAGGUGGCUUCGUAAGUCCGUUGUGAAAGUCAAAGGCUCAACCUUUGAAGGCCGAUGGAUACUGCGGAGCUAGAGUACGGAAGAGGCGAGUGGAAUUCCUGGUGUAGCGGUGGAAUGCGCAGAUAUCAGGAGGAACACCAAUAGCGAAGGCAGCUCGCUGGGACGUUACUGACACUGAGGCGCGAAAGCGUGGGGAGCGAACAGG
rnacentral:rRNA from 1 species